GCUAUCAGCUUGUUGGUGGGGUAAUGGCCUACCAAGGCGGCGACGGGUAUCCGGCCUGAGAGGGUGUACGGACACAUUGGGACUGAGAUACGGCCCAGACUCCUACGGGAGGCAGCAGUGGGGAAUAUUGCACAAUGGGCGCAAGCCUGAUGCAGCGACGCCGCGUGGGGGAUGAAGGCCUUCGGGUUGUAAACUCCUUUCGCUAUCGACGAAGCCUUUUAGGUGACGGUAGGUAGAUAAGAAGCACCGGCUAACUAC
rnacentral:rRNA from 1 species